rnacentral:rRNA from 1 species
UACGUAGGGGGCAAGCGUUGUCCGGAAUCAUUGGGCGUAAAGAGCGUGUAGGCGGCCCGAUAAGUCCGCUGUGAAAGUCCAGGGCUCAACCCUGGAAUGCCGGUGGAUACUGUCGGGCUCGAAUCCGGAAGAGGUGAGUGGAAUUCCUGGUGUAGCGGUGAAAUGCGCAGAUAUCAGGAGGAACACCGGUGGCGAAGGCGGAUCUCUGGGCCAUUACUGACGCUGAGGAGCGAAAGUGUGGGGAGCGAACAGG